rnacentral:lncRNA from 1 species
CGCCAUGGUGACUUGCAAGCAACUCACUGCACUUAGGCACUGGACUACCUGAAUUUCUAAUUCAGUAACGGAAGGAUGCUGGGUGUAGUCAAGUACUUGACUUGUCGGUGCAUGUGUCAAGAUGGGAUUGACCACUCCAGUUCAGGAGCUAUGUACAGUCAUAUUUCAAUUUGGCAAAAUCUUGGCCAGGGUAGUCCUAGUGAGGAGUCACAGGACUGUUUGAGUUGAGCAUGAUUCGGAUGAUCUAAUCAGGGUUGACAGUUUAACCCUGAGUCGUCCUAAACACAGGCGUCAAAAGGGAUGAAUUAUACAG